AGUGAACGCUGGCGGUAGGCCUAACACAUGCAAGUCGAACGGCAGCACAGUAAGAGCUUGCUCUUACGGGUGGCGAGUGGCGGACGGGUGAGGAAUACAUCGGAAUCUACUUUUUCGUGGGGGAUAACGUAGGGAAACUUACGCUAAUACCGCAUACGACCUACGGGUGAAAGCAGGGGAUCUUCGGACCUUGCGCGAUUGAAUGAGCCGAUGUCGGAUUAGCUAGUUGGCGGGGUAAAGGCCCACCAAGGCGACGAUCCGUAGCUGGUCUGAGAGGAUGAUCAGCCACACUGGAACGGAGACACGGUCCAGACUCCUACGGGAGGCAGCAGUGGGGAAUAUUGGGCAAUGGGCGCAAGCCUGAUCCAACCAUACCGCGUGGGUGAAGAAGGCCUUCGGGUUGUAAAGCCCUUUUGUUGGGAAAGAAAAGCAGCAGGUUAAUACCCCGCUGUUCUGACGGUACCCAAAGAAUAAGCACCGGCUAACUUCGUG
rnacentral:rRNA from 1 species